rnacentral:rRNA from 1 species
GCAAGUCGAGCGAAUGACGAAGAAGCUUGCUUCUUCUGAUUUAGCGGCGGACGGGUGAGUAACACGUGGGCAACCUGCCCUGUAGAUUGGGAUAACUCCGGGAAACCGGGGCUAAUACCGAAUAAUCCAUUUCCUCACAUGGGGAGAUGUUAAAAGACGGUCUCUGCUGUCACUACAGGAUGGGCCCGCGGCGCAUUAGCUAGUUGGUGAGGUAACGGCUCACCAAGGCGACGAUGCGUAGCCGACCUGAGAGGGUGAUCGGCCACACUGGGACUGAGACACGGCCCAGACUCCUACGGGAGGCAGCAGUAGGGAAUCUUCCACAAUGGACGAAAGUCUGAUGGAGCAAUGCCGCGUGAGUGAAGAAGGUUUUCGGAUCGUAAAACUCUGUUGUGAGGGAAGAACAAGUACGAGAGUAACUGCUCGUACCUUGACGGCACUUUAUU